UGGCCCAUGAAAUCAAGCUUGGGUGAGACCUGGUACAGAACAGGAAGGCGACCCAUACUUGGUUUCAGUGGCUG
rfam:Mesocricetus auratus contig049226, whole genome shotgun sequence.